rnacentral:misc_RNA from 1 species
UAUAUAUGGUGGUUUGCGUGGAGGUUGCUUGAAAUAUAUUUGAUGGAGUGCAAUAGACCGCACCAACCUACAAAAAGAAACGGUCCCUCUGUAACCAGUUAUCCAAAUAAAUCAUUUUCGUCGGUAUUGAUACCUGCUAAAAGUUGAUGCUUGUCAAGAAGUGUUGAUGUGGGGAGUGGAAGGCUGUAUUGGGCCACGGCUAGAAUUCCUUUUGAGUAGAUUUGAUAAGAUAUGUAGCAUUAUUAAAAGCUCAAGUGAUUUCAUAUGAUAUCAACUGUGGGUUUUAAUUGGUCAUUAUCUGAAUUAAUAUACGCAUCAAUGCUUUAAGAUUUCACAUUCUGUAACACAGCUUGAAUUUCUUGGAAGAGCCAAGACUAUAUUGGAUAAAGAUUGGCUCAUAGGAAGCCAAUAUAUUUUAACACAUCGUAAGCAAACAUGUCUGUAUUUGUUGAUGAUUUGUGAAGUCAUCAAAAUAUAAUAGAAUGCUAUUGUAACAUUAGUGUCCUUGGUCAAGUUCAUCUUCUCUUGAUUUACUUUGUUAUUUUUAAUUAAAUUACUGGUCAUAAAAGAAGAAAUGCUAUAUAAAAUGAAGUCUGUUGCGGAGUAUUUUUAGAAGCUCUAUUUGUGAAAGGGUAUUUAAAGCAUUUCUAGUUUUAUACUAGAUGACGGAGGUCACACUAUGAUUGUGUCAUGUUGUCCUAACUAUUUCACUGUUCAUGAUAUUGUAGCAUAAUAUAUAUAUUUUUUUUGGUGCUUUAGG